UUUUUUUUUUGAAAUGUCGCAAAUGUGAGAACAUUUCUUCACGAGCCAUCCCAGGCGCAUUCCCCCGGCUUCAGAGACCUGCAGGACGAGAGCAGAGCUAAGAGGUAACGUGAGCUAGCUCACAUCAGGCAGCAGGCAGCAGGCAGACCAACCAGAGGACAUGGGAGCAGCAGAGGGAGAGGAGCCUUCGGUCUCUCUGUGGAGGAAACACUGUGUGCUAAGGCUUCAAACAGCCACAUACACUAUAGACCAAUAGUGUAUGUAUUGAUCAUAUUUUGCUGAGAUACUCAAUGAACACU